AGUCUAUUCUUCAAUUCAAGAUGAAAGCUGUCCUGACUAUUCUCGUUGUGUCCAUGCUGUUAUGUGUUGUAUUGUCAUCAGAAGAAUCUGAUGCACUGCACUGCACAGGGGAGAAACUGAGUGAUGGACAGCUCUACUUCAGUAUGCCGUAUGAAGUUAAGGAGGACAUCAAUGACUGCGAGACCCAGUGGCUUGUUGAUGAGAAAGUGGCAGGGAUUUUUGAUGCUGAAGGAGAAAUGCAGUUCAUAUUCCCAAUUAAAAAUUUGACCGUGAAUGCAGCCAUCUUACAAACGUGCCCUGAAAGACUUGCAUGCCUGCUAAUCUGCCCCAGCGCCAAUAUCAAUAAAAAGCAGCAGUGCUCAUGUGAUGCAUCUCCUCUGACUACGCUUCCUGAAGUGGGUUUUCCUAGCUGGAGCGUUUAUAUUUGUAUUGGACUGGGUGGAUUUGCGGUGUUGGUGAUUGUCAUUGUCAUCACUGUGCUUUAUCGGAAAAGACAAAGGUGAGGUCCUCUUAAAAACUGCCACAAACAAGUUAACACAUGGCUUUGUUUAAUAUUUGUCUUUUAAUAUCUGUGUAAUUUUGUGCUUAUAGGCCAAGAUAUGUUCUUAGUGGCCAAGNGGAAUACUGCUGUUAUGAUGUAAAAUAGUUCAAAUCAUUAUCUUUGAUCAUAUCUUUUAAAAUGUACCACAUUAUAUAAGGCAGUGAAUUACAGUACAAACAGCGGUGAGCAUCACUAAAAGCAUUUCCCUUUCCUUUUUAUUUAACCACAGGAGAAGUUACAUUGUUGCACCUGGGUGUUCUUCAGUCUCUAGUCCUUCACUAUGCUCUUAUCUUUUAUAUAACAAGAUAUAAAACUUUUGCUUUGGUAUUUACCUUUUUUACUAAACUGAUCAUGACUCUGAAAUGAAGCUAAAUUAUGAAAUAAUGAUAUUAUUUAAUUAUAUAUUAUAGAACUAUAUAUUUAUAUUUAUUUAUAUAAUAUUUUUUUCUGUUAUGUAAACAGACACAUUUAGUAUGCAUAACUUUACAUAUGUAUAUGCACGUAACAUUAUAAAUAAAUAACUAAAUUAUAAUGUAACUUCA
ensembl:lncRNA